UAGUGGCGAACGGGUGAGUAACACGUGGGCAAUCUGCCCUUCACUCUGGGACAAGCCCUGGAAACGGGGUCUAAUACCGGAUAACACCUGCCCGGGCAUCCGGGUGGGUUAAAAGCUCCGGCGGUGAAGGAUGAGCCCGCGGCCUAUCAGCUUGUUGGUGAGGUAGUGGCUCACCAAGGCGACGACGGGUAGCCGGCCUGAGAGGGCGACCGGCCACACUGGGACUGAGACACGGCCCAGACUCCUACGGGAGGCAGCAGUGGGGAAUAUUGCACAAUGGGCGAAAGCCUGAUGCAGCGACGCCGCGUGAGGGAUGACGGCCUUCGGGUUGUAAACCUCUUUCAGCAGGGAAGAAGCGAAAGUGACGGUACCUGCAGAAGAAGCGCCGGCUAACUACGUGCCAGCAGCCGCGGUAAUACGUAGGGCGCAAGCGUUGUCCGGAAUUAUUGGGCGUAAAGAGCUCGUAGGCGGCUUGUCACGUCGGGUGUGAAAGCCC
rnacentral:rRNA from 1 species